UUCAUACCAUGUGUCCUGCGUUUGUUCCCCCCCAGUGCUGCGUGUUAUCCUGUAUUUUUCCUGUGCCUCUGUGUGGAUUUACCUUUGUUGGGCUCCUGUUAUUUUUUGUGUUGGUCUUUUUUGGAUUACUUACCUGGACUUCUCAGCCGCUCUAAGUUGUGUUGCCAUUUAAUCGGUGUGAGAGCCCCCGUCAAAUUAUUUUGCCUGAACACCCUGGGAGGAGAACAGGCAGAGGUGAGCGACGAGGUGGAACAGCCCAGCGCCCCUGCUGUGAAACACCAGACUCAAGCGAACUGCAAUACACAUUCAGACUCUGGAGAACAUCCAGGAUACGAGGGAUGUGUGAAGUAGCGACCAGAUGUGACCCAAUGUGGUUUGACCAAGCGGAAACCUCUAGGGCUGAAAAAUGAAGCCAACCCGGAAGUGCCAAAAACUGAGGUUCAACGAAUGGCAACUUGAGCCUGGCUCCAAAAAAAUACAUCUGCAGAAAAGUUGUUUCAGUGGAAAAUGGCCACUAGAUGGCCAAAAAUACGAUGCAAAGUAGAGAAGAAGAAAAAGUGGGCAAGCCAUGAGCCAAUCAAAGCAGUGGGCGUUCUUGUUCCACACGAGCCAAUCAAAGCUAUGGGCGUUCCCGUGCUCUACAGGAAGCCCCCUCUGUGGCUGCAAUCAGACUCUACUGGCCUGAGGUUAACUCUUUUGGGAUACAGGUGGAUUAAUUAGCACGGAACAUGGCAGUAAAGUUUUACAUUGUAAUUAACUAGAUAUAUCAAGGCAGCUGUGCAUGCAUCUACCUUUACUGAUCAUUGACCACUCCUUAUGUUGGGCUCCUACUAUUAUGCUGUGUGAUCUCUCCUUGUUGUCUCCUUCUGUAGAUUUGAAGUCUGUGUAGCUAUGGUUUUGACUGCCCUGUUGAUGUUAUCCAUCCUGUCUUCCCCUUGUUGACCCUUCCUUGUUGUCUCCUCCUCUUUGCCUCCUCCUAGCUGAGGCCUUAGUUUAUUUUUCUCCUCCUUGUUGUCUCUUCUGUGUUGUAUCCUGCUUGUUGAUGUCUUCUUGUUGUCCCUUCUUCGUUGCAUCCUUUUUGUUAUCUCCACUUUUUUGUCCCCUUGUUAUCUACACCUGUUUGUUGCCCCGCUUGUUGACUCCACCUUGUUGCCUCCGUCUCCUUGUGGUCUACUCCUUGUUGCCUCCGUCUCCUUGUGGUCUACUCCUUGUUGACCCCUCAUAGUUAUCUCCAUCUUGCUGUUCUCUACUUGCAGAGCUGUCCUUUGUCUCUUCCUUGUGUUGACCCCUCCUUGUUGUCUCCUUAAUCUUGACCUCUUCUUGUUUCCUCAAUGUUAACCUCUCUUUGUUGCCUCUUUCUCGUUGUCCCCUCCUUGUUUCCUCCACCUAUUUGUCUCCCCUCCUUAUUGGGCCCGCCUUUUUAUCUCCUCCUUGUUGCUUCCUGCUUGUUGACCAUUCUAGUUGUUUCCUUGUUACCUCCACCUUUGUCUCCUUAAUCUUGACACCUCGUUUUUGUCUCCUUGUGUUGAACCCUCCUUGUUGUUUCCUCAAUAUCGAUCCCUCCAUGUUGCCUUCUCGUUGUCCCCUCCUUGUUGUCUCCUCAAUGUUGAUCCCUCUUUGUUGCCUCUUCCUUGUUGACCUCUCCUUGUUGUUGACCCCUCCAUGUUGUCUCCUCCUUGUAGCCCUGUCCUCCUUGUUGUCUCCUUCUUGUUGUCUCCUCCUUGUUGUCCCCUCCAUGUUGUGUUUCCAGACUGAGUUUUUAUUGAUUGGAGGAGUGAGCGCUGACAGACUGACAAAUAGCCUUUUUAUUAACGGGAUGUCUGUGCCUGGUAGCCAGAGAUCGCAGAGAAGAACAAUUCAAUUCAGUUCAAUAGACUUUAUGUCUCCCUGCAGGGCCAUUUUCAUUACAGGCAUAAAAACACUGAUUAAAGACAAAAAAUAGAUCACUCUCAUGAACUCAGCCUGCACCACAGAGCAGUCUCUUCAUGUGGUUUACCUGCCCACUCUCUGGCCUCAUGUGUUCAUAUUGUUUAUAGUCUGUUUAUCUUACAGGAUGAUAUGGAUUUAAAUUGACAGUCAGCAGUCUGAUUUUUAGUAUGAGAAGCCCAUCAGCAGCUUGAAAGUGUUCAGUUUGAUUGCUGGUAACAUUAUCUGUUUUUGAAUUUGUUCAACAUCUAAAAUGGUAAGUGGCUAAUAAGCUGUAGCUGAAGUCUUGUUAGGACAGCAUUAGAAAUGUGAAUCAAAUGUGCUUUAUGACUGAUUACAUUACUUGUUGCUUUUUGAAAUAGCUUCAAAUGUACUGAUCUGAGCAUGUGUGUAUGUGGUGGGUAUGUGAGUGUGGGCCUGUAUGGGCGUAUAUUAUGUGUGCCAGGCUGUAUGAAUAUUUGAUGAAACCCACCAAUAAAAAAUUGUGCUUAAUAUUUCUUUGGUAUUGAUUUUACGUAUUGGUAGUUCUGUUCUUAUGAUGACGAUGCAAUGGUUGUUGACUGAUAAACUGGCUGACUUAAUAUAUGAUAUACUCAGUAUAUUCAUGUGUUUUGGGCACCCCUGUGGAAAAAAGAAAUGUGAUGCCUCUGAACACUGAGUUCUUUUAAGGAUUCCUUGGUUUUCCACAUGUGGCCUUGUACUUUGGUGUUAUGGAGGGGAGAAUUAUUGGCUCAAUGUGAUUAAUCAAUUAAUUAUAGUGACUACAUAUACAGUAAUUUAUUCACUCAAGAAAGUGGAUUUAAUGUUAAGUUAGUCUUCAA